AGAGAGUGAGCUUAGUCGGUUCUGAUCCCGCCUUGCAUAAGGCAGCGAGAUCUCUCCCAUAAGGGGCGAUCUUUGUGGCGCGCACCAGACAGACAGGGGUUGUUAGAAAGUUGGCCGGGACGUGGGUGGAACGAGGCGGGGUCACACCGUUUAAGGCUGGCAACUUGGCAAGAGAAGGCAAGGCAACAGAGGGCGGAAGGGACGCAAAGGAGAGGGGAGAAGAGAGGCUAAGUGAGGCGGAUGGAGGAGUAUUGACUCGGGGUAGGGGGGAGAAUCGGAAACCGGGAGAGCGAGCAAGAAGCGGGCAGGCAGGCACCCAGCUGAAGAGACGCCGCUGGUCAGAACCGCUUCCUCCGCGCAGCUUCAGAGAUUCAGUGGAAGGAGGCUGGCUGGGGAUAAGGAUGGAUGGGAGGAAGGAAGAAGGAAGGAAGGAGCCUUAAUGUGUCGGGGAUUGUGAGCACCGCAGGCCAAUUUGGAUCGUGUUUUUCAUACUUCUGGUUCUGGAUAGAGAAUAAGAUCGGCUCUUCCCUGAGGGGAAUAAGGGACAAGCCGAUCGAUACAGUAGCUGCCGUAUACUUCUUGCAAUUAUCAAUAGCUGAUUUCGUCUUUUGAGGCCUCUGUGCAUCUAUUAAUACCAGCUAAUAAUAUUCUUUUAAAAACAUAUCUACGACGGAAAAGAAGCAAAGUUUUCGUGUCGGAGGACGUGGGCUAUAGAUAUUGUAUUGAAAUAUAAGUUGUAUCUUACAAAUAGGUACCACGGAUAUAUAAACCUGUGUGUUUGUUCAGAGGCGGAAAGAAUGUGUGUAUGGAAAUACAUAGGUGGAUUGUUAGUCUAUAUAUAA